UCCCUGUAGGACUAGUGGUUAGGCCACAGCGCUCUCACCACUGCGGCCCAGGUUUGAUUCCUGGCCAGGCAA
rnacentral:tRNA from 1 species